GAUGAACGCUAGCUACAGGCUUAACACAUGCAAGUCGAGGGGAAACGAUAUUGGAAGCUUGCUUCCGAUAGGCGUCGACCGGCGCACGGGUGAGUAACUCGUAUCCAACCUGCCCACCACUUGGGGAUAACCUUGCGAAAGUAAGGCUAAUACCCAAUGAUAUCUCAAGAAGACAUCUGAAAGGGAUUAAAGAUUUAUCGGUGAUGGAUGGGGAUGCGUCUGAUUAGCUUGUUGGCGGGGUACCGGCCCACCAAGGAGAAGAUCAGUAGGGGUUCGGAGAGGAAGGUCCCCAAAAUUGGAAAUGAGACACGGUCCAAACUCCUACGGGAGGCAGCAGUGAGGAAUAUUGGUCAAUGUGCGAGAGCCUGAACCAGCCAAGUAGCGUGCAGGAUGACGGCCCUAUGGGUUGUAAACUGCUUUUAUAAGGGAAUAAAGUGAGCCUCGUGAGGCUUUUUGCAUGUACCUUAUGAAUAAGGACCGGCUAAUUCCGUGCCAGCCGCCGCCGUAA
rnacentral:rRNA from 1 species